GUAUAGCAUAGCUACUUGCAUCAUUCUAAAUAUGAUGCAAGAUCGACUAUGUCGAAUAAAAUUCUAGGUAGAAUUAUGAUAAUGACAUUGUCUGCCUAUGUGUCUUGACCAAAUUACGUGCCAGCAGUCGCGGUAAUACGUAGAAGACUAGUGUUAUUCAUGUUUAAUCGGUUUAAAGGGUACCUAGACGGUAAAUCAAGCCUAAAAGGAAAUAAAUGAAGGGACUAAUUUACUAGAGUUACUUAUGAGGGGGUAUUAAAGUACUGCUGGUGUAGAGAUGAAAUUCUGUCAUACCUCUUUUCAAUAGAAAAAUAAUGGCACAGGUAUAGGCGAAAGCAUCCCCUUAUGUGAUAACUGACGUUGAGGGACGAAGGCUUUGUGUAGCGAACAGGAUUAGAUACCCCAGUAGUCAAAGCAGAAAAUGAUGAAUGUCAUAGAUUAGAUAUAUAAGUUUAUUCUAUAAAUGAAAGUGUAAGCAUUCCACCUCAAGAGUAAUUUGGCAACAUUGGAACUGAAAUCAUUAGACCGUUUCUGAAACCAGUAGUGAAGUAUGUUGUUUAAUUUGAUGAUCCGCAAAAAACCUUACCACAAUUUGAAUAUUUAUAUCUUUUGUUGUUUUUCUUUUUAACUUUCUUCUGAUUUUCUACUUAAAAGAAAACAAUAACAAGAAAAAAGAGGCAAUAAGAUAUAUUUACAAGCGUUGCACGGCUGUCUUCAGUUAAUGUCGCGAGACUCUGGUUAGUUCCAUUAAAUUAACGUAACCCUUACUUUAUUUUUAUAUAGAGUAGUUCCCCGCUAUAUUGGAUAUGAUAACAGGGACUAAGACAAGUCAUCAUGGCCUAAAUAUUGUGGGCUAUA
rnacentral:rRNA from 1 species